rnacentral:rRNA from 1 species
UACGAAGGGGGCUAGCGUUGCUCGGAAUUACUGGGCGUAAAGGGCGCGUAGGCGGCGCAUUUAGUCAGGCGUGAAAGCCCCGGGCUCAACCUGGGAAUUGCAUUCGAGACUGCGUGGCUAGGGUGCGGAAGAGGGAAGCGGAAUUUCCGGUGUAGCGGUGAAAUGCGUAGAUAUCGGAAGGAACACCAGUGGCGAAAGCGGCUUCCUGGUCCAGCACCGACGUUCAGGCACGAAAGCGUGGGGAGCAAACAGGAUUAGAUACCCGGAG